UGUGGUGAAUGCUGCUCUGGGAGCCGGACUUCUCAAUUUUCCUGCUGCUUUCAACAUGGCUGGUGGCGUCACAGCCGGAGUGACCCUUCAAAUGUGCAUGAUGGUCUUCAUCAUCACUGGGCUGGUGAUCUUGGCUUAUUGUUCUCAGGUGAGCAAUGAAACAACGUAUCAGGAGGUGAUUCGUGCUGU